rnacentral:rRNA from 1 species
GACGAACGCUGGCGGCGUGCUUAACACAUGCAAGUCGAGCGGUAAGGCCCUUUCGGGGUACGACGAGCGGCGAACGGGUGAGUAACACGUGGGUGACCUGCCCUCAGCUCUGGGAUAAGCCUGGGAAACCGGGUCUAAUACUGGAUAUGACUCCAUGACGCAUGUUGUGGGGUGGAAAGCCUUGUGCGGCUGAGGAUGGGCCCGCGGCCUAUCAGCUUGUUGGUGGGUGAUGGCCUACCAAGGCGACGACGGGUAGCCGGCCUGAGAGGGCGACGGCCACACUGGGACUGAGACACGGCCCAGACUCCUACGGGAGGCGAGCAGUGGGGAAUCUUGCGCAAUGGGCGAAAGCCUGACGCAGCGACGCCGCGUGAGGGAUGACGGCCU